UACAGAGGGGGCAAGCGUUGUUCGGAAUUACUGGGCGUAAAGGGCGCGUAGGCGGCCUUCUAAGUCAAACGUGAAAUCCCUCGGCUCAACCGGGGAACUGCGUCUGAUACUGGAAGGCUUGAAUCCGGGAGAGGAAUGCGGAAUUCCAGGUGUAGCGGUGAAAUGCGUAGAUAUCUGGAGGAACACCGGUGGCGAAGGCGGCAUUCUGGACCGGCAUUGACGCUGAGGCGCGAAAGCCAGGGGAGCAAACGGG
rnacentral:rRNA from 1 species